rnacentral:rRNA from 1 species
UACGAACUGUGCAAACGUUAUUCGGAAUCACUGGGCUUACAGGGUGCGUAGGCGGCCUGACAAGUAGGGUGUGAAAGCCCCCGGCUCAACCGGGGAAUGGCGCCCUAAACUGUCGGGCUGGAGUGAGAUAGGGGUGUGCGGAACUUCCGGUGGAGCGGUGAAAUGUGUUGAUAUCGGAAGGAACGCCGGUGGCGAAAGCGGCACACUGGACUGCAACUGACACUGAAAGACGAAAGCCAGGGGAGCAAACGGG